AACAAUUGUAUUAUUGUACAUGUAUGACCACUGUGUGAAGUUGAGAGAAGUGAAGUUUAACACUUCAACAAGUCAGUGUUUAAAAAAAAGUCAGACUACAGAAACGGUGGCGGCUAGCUAUGAGAUGCUGAAGAAAGAAAAGAUAACGGUUUUGAAGGUAGGCAUCAUGCUUGCCUAGCUAAGUAGGCGUGCAGAUGGAAUAGCCGCUAAGCGGGUGGCUACAUUUCUGAAGGCAUAGCCAGAACCAGGGAGUAGUAUUGUACUAGUACUACAGUGCGUAUCGGUUAUAGCGUGGUCGUGUAAAACUAAAAGAAUACAGUCAUGUAGUAGCAGUGCGAUUUUUCACACUUCCUCAAGCGUGACAGCCGCCAUUCCUCCGCGGGCCGAGUAUGGCGUCUCGUUCCUUGAAAAUCAGCUGGUGCCUGGUGGCAGAAUCAUUACACAUUCUGUGACAUAGUGUAGAAGGUGGUUUCAGCGCUGCACACUGCAGUGCAGUCCCUUGAACUGAGCGCACUUGCUCGGAGCUGGAUUCAAGGCGUUCAAGCCAUUUUUUGUUUCCUCCUAUCCACUUGCCAAUCCAGCUUAGCAGGCCAUGGAGGCACAACAAACUGAAAACAGCAUUGCAGGCCAUAGCUUCGAUGUGCCAGCCUGGAAGGACCACUUCUUUAGGCAACGUAGCGCAAACUACGCGCCUAGUCUAGGCGUGCAUACUGCCUGGCGACCGAAAUUUCGGCGGAGAGGAACUGCUCGCACCAGCACAACCAUAUGAGGCUGUGUUUUAGCCGCUAUACGACGGAAUACGUUCUGUACAAGGCAACCAGUUUGUCCUGCCUGGCUACUCAGCUCACCACAAAGCGGGUUCCUUCCAAAGAAGGACUCCCACUUUUCAGUCUGGGAGGACCUCAUUCAAAUGGCCUCUAAUGACAUUAUUCACGGUUGCCGAGCGGACAGUCUUGCUGGAGCUACUAAACAGGCUCAUCAUGCCUGGCCUCCAGAAGUGCCAGAGCGGCGAUGUUGUGCGAGCUGCAAUGCAGCUCUGGGUACUUGGCAAGAAUGUGGCCAUCGUAAUGUCAUCAGAGAUAUGCUGGUGGCUGAGCUGAUGCGUCGUCACAGUGACUAUGCCAUGCCUCUGACAGCUCAAGCCAAGGCCAAGCUGGAGCCAGACACCGCCACACAUUUUGCCACACAUUUCUAAGAACCUAUGCUGGAUGCUGUUAUUCAUGCUGCAUUUGAGAAGCACCCCACUAGGUGGCUUCGCAUUCCUCUUUACUUCUAUUCGCCAUGGGUGCUGAUACAGCCCAUAGUCAUCUAUUCUACACUGGCGGGCAUAUCUCCGGGUCAACGCUAUUCCUGUCCAGGUUUCCACCUUCACUGAAGGCGCACCACCAACUGUCUCUGCCCGAGACAGUUGCUGGCCCUUGCUCAUGAUGAGCAAGUGCCAGCCAAGUACGAUGAGUUGUUGCAGCGAUGUUGAACGGCAGUUCAACAUCGCGGAUAUUAAUUUUAUAUCCAUCCAAACGAAAGUGAACUAUCCAAGCAGGCAAGCCAUUUGUUUGUGGAGAAUGUGCUGCACUCCACACCUGCUCCCUCCAACUGUAUCAGUUCAUGUCAGCUCGUAGCCGAAAGUCCGUCCGUGUUACGAAGAAUGCCAUGGAGCAUGUUGCAAGGCAAAUGAAAGAAUAUGCUGCCACUGUAACGCCUGCGGAGCGACUCAAUAAAGCCAGAGCACAGAUGAAGCUACUCCAAGCCAAACAGUAACUGCCCGUACCCUCACCGCUGCCGAAACAUACAGCAGUGUUUCGUCCAGGCAUCGCGCACGGUCAGCUGAUGAGCACAAGCAGAGAAUGGCUGCCUCAGGAGAAGAAGGCAUGGGGCAUGGUGUGGCCCACGAUCCAGGCUCACGGAGAUCCGCAGCAAUUCAGGAGAGGGCAGCGGCACGAAAUUUCCCAGCAACUACCGCAAGCAGCAGAGUUAGUGAAACUGAGGAGCAGAGCUAGCUCCAGGGCAGGGGCCAGCUCAGACAGCGUGAAAGACGGUGCAAGACGGAUACGUAAACCACCGAAACUGACAAGGGAUCUGUCGGUGUCGGGAAGGGUUACGCGAAGCCAAGUGAAAAUACGGACUGGUGAGGACGCACGUACAAUGACAAGUGACAACAACAGUGAAUAUUCGAAAACGUGGUAGACUGCGAAAACAAACCUCGACAUCGGGCACCGGACAAGUUGGAGUAAGAAGCUCAACCGAAAACCGCAAUGGAGGAGACGUAGCUGAAAGGACACUGGGCAUGGCACACACAACGAACAAUGUCAGGAAACGUGGAAGGCCGCGGAAACAGUAAGAGACGGAUAGUGGUCGUGGAGUCGGUGUCGAAAAUCGCAAACCGGGCUUCAAUUCAAAAAAGUAUUGACGACAUGUAGGAGCUGAUAUAGAUUAGCAUGCUCAAAGGAUACAACUGCAUAGCUCUAGCUGUUCUCGUUCUUAGA